rnacentral:rRNA from 1 species
AUACGUAGAGAGCAAGCGUUGUCCGGAAUCAUUGGGCGUAAAGGGUACGCAGGCGGUCUAGUAAGUCAGAGGUGAAAUCCAUCAGCUCAACUGGUGAACUGCCUUUGAUACUGUUAGACUUGAGGAUAAGAGAAGAAAGUGGAAUUCCUAGUGUAGUGGUGAAAUACGUAGAUAUUAGGAAGAAUACCGAUGGCGAAAGCAGCUUUCUAACUUACUCCUGACGCUCAGGUACGAAAGCUAGGGUAUCAAACGGGAUUAGAUACCCCGGUAGUCCUAGCCGUAAACGAUGGAUACUAGGUGUCGGAGGUUCGACUCCUUCGGUGCCGGAGUUAACGCAUUAAGUAUCCCGCCUGGGGAUUACGACCGCAAGGUUGAA